CCACACUGGAACUGAGACACGGUCCAGACUCCUACGGGAGGCAGCAGUGGGGAAUUUUGCGCAAUGGGGGAAACCCUGACGCAGCAACGCCGCGUGAGUGAUGAAGGCCUUCGGGUCGUAAAGCUCUGUCAGAGGGGAAGAAGUGUGCGGGUGCUAAUAUCAUCUGCGCUUGACGGUACCCUCAAAGGAAGCACCGGCUAACUCCGUGCCAGCAGCCGCGGUAAUACGGAGGGUGCGAGCGUUGUUCGGAAUUAUUGGGCGUAAAGCGCGUGUAGGCGGUUUGAUAAGUCUGAUGUGAAAGCCCCGGGCUCAACCCGGGAAGUGCAUUGGAAACUGUCAGACUUGAAUACGGGAGAGGGCAGUGGAAUUCCUAGUGUAGGAGUGAAAUCCGUAGAUAUUAGGAGGAACACCGGUGGCGAAGGCGGCUGCCUGGACCGAUAUUGACGCUGAGACGCGAAAGCGUGGGGAGCAAACAGGAUUAGAUACCCUGGUAGUCCACGCCGUAAACGAUGAGUACUAGGUGUUGCGGGUAUUGACCCCUGCAGUGCCGCAGCUAACGCA
rnacentral:rRNA from 1 species